AGUAGCCGAUACCAACACGAUAACAAGUACAUCUACCCCAAAGCCAACACCAAUAAGAAAUUCAUCAAAAGAAGUCAUGUCAAUAACUUCUACGCCCAAAGCGAGCUCAACAUCAGUAACAACAACGACCAAUGGAACAAAACAACCAUCAACGUCUAAAAAUGUUGCAUCAACCAGUAUACCAGGUAUGCUUAUCCUACAAUGCAUGACGUCAUACUUAGUAGCUGUUGCCGUCAAUCGAUAGAAUACAAGGAAAUAGAAACAUUUAAGUAGUGUAUUUUGGCAGCUGCAUUUAAUUAAAUCUUUCUUUUUAUUAACUGAAUGACAAAGACAAUGCUAUUACAAUAUCAAGUGUUUUAUAUUAUUUUUGUACAAAAGGAUAGUAAUUUGCUUUGGUUAAUCGUCUGAAUAUUAAUCAGUCAAUACAUUGGUUGUUUAUAUAAAUAAUUUCAAACAUUAAAAAUUGCUUAAUGUUCAUUAGUAAGCAUUUUAAAUAGGUCGAACGGAUGCAUACAUACAAGUAAUUUGUAACCGAGUACUUUAAUCAAUUAGCCUGGUCGCCCAUUUUUCUAGAAAAUUUAGCUGAUUUGCAGAAUUUAAUGCUAUGAGACAGAAUAAGUUGAUAUUUUAGCAAAAACAAAACAAAAACAAACCCCAAAAAUGUCAUUUCUUCAUUAGUUUUAACUGUUUAAAUAUUAGUUUGUUUAGAUGUUUGUUUGUUUGUCUAUCAAUCUAAUGACAGUAUAUAUUUUUGUUUACAUUUUUAGUAAGAAUUUCAUUCAUUAUGAAAAGUAUUUCUUUUUGGAUUAUCUGUCGAUGUUAUUUUUAUGUCCUGUUUGCAAAAUGAUAAUAAAUUAUAUGAUUUGUAAAUUGUA